UCCCGUGUGGCUCAGUUGGUAGAGCAUGGUGUUUGCAAUGCCAGGCUUGUGGGUUCGAUUCCCACAGGGGAC
rfam:Salmo salar isolate Sally breed double haploid chromosome ssa01, whole genome shotgun sequence.